UCUAACACUCCCCCAACAUGUCUACCUCAGAAAAGAGGGGGGUACAUAAGACAGGAAAAUAUAAUUAAUCCCCUGCCUACACUCUCUGCAUCAAUAAGAAUUUGCUUAUCUUUGAUAUCAUUCAGAAAUUAUCACAGGAAAAGACCAUUUAUACCAUCUACUCCCGUGAUCCUUAAAUGCUUAUGUUUGUUUAGCAGAGACCAGCCUUCUUCAUGACUAAUAAGAACACCUACAUCUCAGUUUUAUGGAGAGCAAAAGACGGAAUGGAAGAAGAUAGUGCUUUAUUAAAUGAUUUCAACCCUGUGCAUAAUUCCAGCAUGGAUACUCCCUCCAUUGAUGCAGAUCUACAAUUUAAGAGUCUAAGAGGUUUUUCUGAAGUCAAUAUGAUGCUGAUUGAUUUCUCCAUAAUCAUA